ensembl:snoRNA small nucleolar RNA, C/D box 111
UAGCCUGAAAUGAUGCCUAAAUUUCGUGUCUCUUCUCUGACAAUUUUGUCUGGAGAUGGUUUUUGCCUUAUUGAUCUGAUCAGGCUG